AAAGCCCWUGUAUUACAUGAGCACUUKGRGUUCCCYUAUCACACUUUCGUGCAUUGUAAAGUUUUCGCGCCUGCUGCGCCCCGUGGGGCGGGGGCGGCGGGACGGGCGCGGGGCGCGGCGGGCGCG
rnacentral:rRNA from 1 species